rnacentral:rRNA from 1 species
AGCGUUCUAUGUAGGGUGAAGCGUUAGCGUAAGCGGACGUGGACAGCAUAGAAGUGAGAAUGUCGGCUUGAGUAGCGAAAACAUGGGUGAGAAUCCCAUGCCCCGAAACCCUAAGGGUUCCUCCGGCAGGCUCGUCCGCGGAGGGUUAGUCUGGACCUAAGGCGAGGCUGAAAGGCGUAGUCGAUGGAUAACAGGUCAAUAUUCCUGUACCAGAUGUGUUUUGAGAAGGGGGACGGAGAAGGCUAACCAGGCCAGAUGUUGGUUACUGGUUCAAGCGUUCGAGGCUUUGAGAGAUGGAGAAAACAUCUUGAGCUAAGGCGUGAGUACGAGCUGCUACGGCAGCGAAGUUGGUGAUGUCAUGCUUCCAAGAAAAGCCCUAUACUCGUUAAGACACAAAUGCCAGUACCCGAAACCGACACAGGUGGGGUGGUAGAGAAUACCGAGGGGCGCGAGAUAACUCUCUCUAAGGAACUCGGCAAAAUGGCCCCGUAACUUCGGGAGAAGGGGUGCCAGCGAGAGCUGGUCGCAGUGAAGAGGCGCAAGCGACUGUUUACCAAAAACACAGGUCUCCGCUAAGUCGCAAGACGAUGUAUGGGGGCUGACACCUGCCCAGUGCCGGAAGGUUAAGGAAGCUGGUUAGCUUUUUGUGAAGCUGGCGACUGAAGCCCCGGUGAACGGCGGCCGUAACUAUAACGGUCCUAAGGUAGCGAAAUUCCUUGUCGGGUAAGUUCCGACCCGCACGAAAGGUGUAACGAUUUGCGCGCUGUCUCGGAGAGAGGCUCGGCGAAAUAGAAUUGUCUGUGAAGAUGCGGACUACAUACACCCGGACAGAAAGACCCUAUGAAGCUUUACUGUAGUUUGAUAUUGUGCUCGGGCUCUGAAUGCGCAGAAUACGUGGGAGACGUUGAAAUAGUGCUUGUGGGUACUAUUGAGUCAUCGGUGAGAUACCACUCUUUUAGAGCUAGGGUCUAACGCUUACCCGUUAUCCGGGAAGCGGACAGUAUCUGAUGGGCAGUUUGACUGGGGCGGUCGCCUCUAAAAGGUAACGGAGGCGCACAAAGGUUCCCUCAGGCUGGUUGGAAAUCAGUCGUUGAGUGCAAAAGCAGAAGGGAGCUUGACUGUGAGACCUACAAGUCGAACAGGGACGAAAGUCGGUUUUAGUGAUCCGACGGUUCUGCGUGGAAGGGCCGUCGCUCAACGGAUAAAAGUUACUCUAGGGAUAACAGGCUGAUCUCCCCCAAGAGUUCACAUCGACGGGGAGGUUUGGCACCUCGAUGUCGGCUCAUCGCAACCUGGGGCUGAAGUCGGUCCCAAGGGUUGGGCUGUUCGCCCAUUAAAGCGGUACGCGAGCUGGGUUCAGAACGUCGUGAGACAGUUCGGUCCAUAUCCGGUGUAUGCGCAGGAAUAUUGAGAGGAUUUCUCCCUAGUACGAGAGGACCGGGAGGAACGCACCUCUGGUGUGCCAGUUAUCGUGCCAACGGUAAACGCUGGGUAGCCAUGUGCGGAGUGGAUAACCGCUGAAAGCAUCUAAGUGGGAAGCCCACCUCAAGAUGAGUAUUGCCAUGGCUUAAGCCAGUAAGGUCACGGGAAGAACACCCGUUGAUAGGCUCUACGUGGAAGCUUGGUAACAAGUGCAGCGGAGGAGUACUAAUAGACCGAGGGCUUGACCAA